GCCGGAGGAUGCAAUUGUUAUCCGGAAUCACUGGGCGUAAAGCGUCUGUAGGUGGUCAAAUAAGUCAACUGUUAAAUCUUGAGGCUCAACUUCAAAAUCGCAGUCGAAACUAUUAGACUAGAGUAUAGUAGGGGUAAAGGGAAUUUCCAGUGGAGCGGUGAAUGCGUAGAGAUUGGAAAGAACACCGAUGGCGAAGGCACUUUACUGGGCUAUUACUAACACUCAGAGACGAAAGCUAGGGUAGAAAAUGGG
rnacentral:rRNA from 1 species